rnacentral:rRNA from 1 species
CAUGGCUCAGAGCGAACGCUGGCGGCAGGCUUAACACAUGCAAGUCGAGCGGGCCCUUCGGGGUCAGCGGCGGACGGGUGAGUAACGCGUGGGAACGUGCCUUCUGGUUCGGAAUAACCCUGGGAAACUAGGGCUAAUACCGGAUACGCCCUUUUGGGGAAAGGUUUACUGCCGGAAGAUCGGCCCGCGUCUGAUUAGCUUGUUGGUGGGGUAACGGCCUACCAAGGCGACGAUCAGUAGCUGGUCUGAGAGGAUGAUCAGCCACACUGGGACUGAGACACGGCCCAGACCCCUACGGGAGGCAGCAGUGGGGAAUAUUGGACAAUGGGCGCAAGCCUGAUCCAGCCAUGCCGCGUGAGUGAUGAAGGCCUUAGGAUUGUAAAGCUCUUUUAUCCGGGACGAU